UACGUAGGGGGCAAGCGUUGUCCGGAUUUAUUGGGCGUAAAGAGCGUGUAGGCGGCCGCACAGGUCCGUUGUGAAAACUGGAGGCUCAACCUUCAGACGUCGAUGGAAACCGUGCGGCUAGAGUCCGGAAGAGGAGAGUGGAAUUCCUGGUGUAGCGGUGAAAUGCGCAGAUAUCAGGAAGAACACCCGUGGCGAAGGCGGGUCUCUGGGCCGAUACUGACGCUGAGGAGCGAAAGCGUGGGGAGCGAACAGG
rnacentral:rRNA from 1 species